UCGUCGCGUCCGGUGUGAAAGUCCAUCGCUUAACGGUGGAUCUGCGCCGGGUACGGGCGGGCUGGAGUGCGGUAGGGGAGACUGGAAUUCCCGGUGUAACGGUGGAAUGUGUAGAUAUCGGGAAGAACACCGAUGGCGAAGGCAGGUCUCUGGGCCGUCACUGACGCUGAGGAGCGAAAGCGUGGGGAGCGAACAGGAUUAGAUACCCUGGUAGUCCACGCCGUAAACGGUGGACGCUGGAUGUGGGGCACGUUCCACGUGUUCCGUGUCGGAGCUAACGCGUUAAGCGUCCCGCCUGGGGAGUACGGCCGCAAGGCUAAAACUCAAAGAAAUUGACGGGGGCCCGCACAAGCGGCGGAGCAUGCGGAUUAAUUCGAUGCAACGCGAAGAACCUUACCUGGGCUUGACAUGUUCCCGACGACGCCAGAGAUGGCGUUUCCCUUCGGGGCGGGUUCACAGGUGGUGCAUGGUCGUCGUCAGCUCGUGUCGUGAGAUGUUGGGUUAAGUCCCGCAACGAGCGCAACCCUCGCCCCGUGUUGCCAGCACGUUAUGGUGGGAACUCACGGGGGACCGCCGGGGUUAACUCGGAGGAAGGUGGGGAUGACGUCAGAUCAUCAUGCCCCUUACGUCCAGGGCUUCACGCAUGCUACAAUGGCCGGUACA
rnacentral:rRNA from 1 species